AGCCGCGUGGCCGAGUGGAUAGGUACAGGUCUGCAACACCUUUUACGUUGGUUCGAGUCCAACCGCGGCGU
rfam:Sphingobacteriales bacterium 46-32 scnpilot_p_inoc_scaffold_1109, whole genome shotgun sequence.